rnacentral:lncRNA from 1 species
CCGAAAGCUUAGCACAGUCCCAUCCGUGACUGGUUUCCAGCUUGCUAUCACAGCAUAAGCAACAACAACAUCAGUGGUGAGAUUCUUCAAGCUGAAUAAUAGAGGAGUGAAAUGAAACUGUGGAUCUCAUGAUGGCCUGAUGUGGUUUUCCUCAGUACGAGGAGCAGGAAGGCAGGCAGUGUGACUCACGGAGCUCUGUGAUGUGCCUGUAGCCUGAGCACAAGCUCACUGCAAACAUCUGUCCCUGUGGACUCCCUGAUGUUCUGCGAUCUUCCCAUCAGGAGAACAAGCCGUGGAAAAGAUGAGGUCUUCAUCUUUGUGUAGGUGCAUGGAGGUGAUAAAUGAGUUUCACCUGGAGGAUGAACACAGCGCUGAAGCUGAACUCUUCAGUUUAAACAUCAGUUUAAACACCAACGUGGCCUUCAGCUGGCCAUUUCCCGCUGAGGAUGGCUUUACUCGGAGGCAUUUUGAUCAUUACUUGUCAGAUAAGACCUUGAGUGAACUACAAACUACAAUCACUGGCACUAGAAGACUUUGCAGCCAGUUUUGUCUUGACUCAAUCAUGUUAUCUUCAGUACUGAAUUAG